rnacentral:rRNA from 2 species
ACGGGAGGCAGCAGUGGGGAAUAUUGCACAAUGGGGGAAACCCUGAUGCAGCGACGCCGCGUGAGUGAUGAAGUACUUCUGUACGUAAAGCUCUAUCAGCAGGGAAGAUAAUGACGGUACCUGACUAAGAAGCACCGGCUAAAUACGUGCCAGCAGCCGCGGUAAUACGUAUGGUGCAAGCGUUAUCCGGAUUUACUGGGUGUAAAGGGAGCGUAGGCGGUACGGCAAGUCUGAUGUGAAAACCCGGGGCUCAACUCCGGGAUUGCAUUGGAAACUGUCGAACUAGAGUGUCGGAGGGGUAAGUGGAAUUCCCAGUGUAGCGGUGAAAUGCGUAGAUAUUGGGAGGAACACCAGUGGCGAAGGCGGCUUACUGGACGAUUACUGACGCUGAGGCUCGAAAGCGUGGGGAGCAAACAGGAUUAGAUACCCUGGUA